rnacentral:misc_RNA from 1 species
AAAAAAAUACAGGAUGCAAAUCAGUACGGAAAUUCCCAAUGAAAAUGAAAAGGAGUUAACAAUGGAAAAUUGCCAAAAGGAUCAACAAAAUAAUAAAACAAAAAACAAACUGAAACUAAAGAUUUACUAGGCCUCAUUUACUAUCUUGCAAUUUAUCCAGAAAUUCAAAAAAAGAGACCCAUCGUAAAAGCCAACCACAACCUCACUUGCAUUCAACACCUGCCUCAGCAGCUCUACGAGGCUUGUUUUUCCGCCUGCUUCCAUUAUGUCGAAAUCCAUUAGAUUUAGUUGAGUCCUCAGUAGUCGAUCUGGUAGCAACACCAUUUUCUUCCUUCACUGAAUCAGGUUUCUCCUUUGCCUGUGAGUAGCGUUUCCUCUUCUUUCCAUUUUCUGCUGCUAUUGGACUUUUUGUCUCUGUGCUUGUAAUGCCUGUUUUUCCAUUCUCUCCAUCUUCCUCCUCUAUUUUUUCAACUUCCUCUUCAUCAACAUCAUCUUUCAGUGGUUUUUGAGGCCUUCCCCUUCUUUUCUGUGCUGGAAUUUUCUCUUCCUCACCACUUCCAGGAUCAUCAUGAUUGCUGACAUUCAACUUUUUCGCCUUUCCUCUACCUCUACCCAUAAUUUUAUAAUCCCGUGAAAGAAAUACUCACAUGGACAAAGAAUCUUUCUGGUUUUGGGAAAAACUUAUUUGCAUCCUCAACAAGAGACCCAUCACUUUGAAUCUGUUAAGAAAGCAAACAAAACUUAAAAAAGAAAACACCAAAACCCAACUCGGUUCUUCCCCCGCUAAUGAACAAAAGUAAUGAUUUUUGAAGGCUAAAACAAUGAUCUAAAGAAGGGACACUUGAUACGCAGAUCAAGAAACAUUGAAAUUCGAAGAUAUUAAGGAUUUACACAGGGUAGUAGAGUUGUGGCCCCCCAAAAAAAAUGGCCAAAUGAAACCCACACACAGAGAGAGACAGAAAGAAAG